rnacentral:rRNA from 1 species
UGGGGAAUAUUGGACAAUGGGCGAAAGCCUGAUCCAGCCAUGCCGCGUGUGUGAAGAAGGUCUUCGGAUUGUAAAGCACUUUAAGUUGGGAGGAAGGGCAGUAAGCGAAUACCUUGCUGUUUUGACGUUACCGACAGAAUAAGCACCGGCUAACUCUGUGCCAGCAGCCGCGGUAAUACAGAGGGUGCAAGCGUUAAUCGGAAUUACUGGGCGUAAAGCGCGCGUAGGUGGUUCGUUAAGUUGAAUGUGAAAGGCCCGGGCUCAACCUGGGAACUGCAUCCAAAACUGGCGAGCUAGAGUAGGGCAGAGGGUGGUGGAAUUUCCUGUGUAGCGGUGAAAUGCGUAGAUAUAGGAAGGAACACCAGUGGCGAAGGCGACCACCUGGGCUCAUACUGACACUGAGUUGCGAAAGCGUGGGGAGCAAACAGG